rnacentral:snRNA from 1 species
AUCGCUUCUCGGCCUUUUGGCUAAGAUCAAGUGUAGUAUCUGUUAUUUAUCAGUUUAAUAUCUGAAUACGUCCCCUAUCUGGGGACCAUAUAUUAAAUGGAUUUUUGGAACAGGGAGAUGGAAGAAGAGCUUGCUCUGUCCACUCCACGCAUCGACCUGGUAUUGCAGUACCUCCAGGACCGGUGCACCUCUC